rnacentral:misc_RNA from 1 species
AAUUCUCAACUCUCCUCGGAUUCCAUCCGUAGGGUGAGCUUGGACUUGGAGGUUUCUGCUGGCGUUGGCCGGCUCCUCUUGAAAUCAUUAGCUUUGAGUUGAUCUUGAUGGCUUGACUGGUGUGAUAAACAUCUACGCCGAUUCGUGCCAUCCUGAGCGACGACGUCGGAGACGCUCUGGCUUAUAACCGUCUUCACUGAAGGACGACGCCCUGAAC